rnacentral:rRNA from 1 species
CGGGCAGAAAAUAGGGGAAGCGAUGGCGGUCUGGUAGAGAAAAGAGAAGGAGAUUGGGGAAGCAUUGGCCUUGGGAUUGUGGGUUUAGGUGGUGAGGGGCAGAAGCGGGGGAGGGUACCGUUGGCGGUUGCGGCUGCGACGGCUCCAGCUCGCCGAGAUGCUCGAGCCGCUGGCUGAAAGGAGUCGGUUCCUGUUCAGGGUCGUGCGCCGCCUGAUACUCCGCUAGUAUCGCAGCCACUUCCCCGUUUUGCAAUUUCGCUUCGUCGACCGCCGUGUCGAGUAGGGGGCAAUGAAGGCCUCAAAGGGUCGGGAGCCAUGGAAGCGGUACCUUCGUUACAAGCUGGAGCAACUCUACCUUCUCGAGCGCUAGUCUUAUGUUCGAUAAGCACCCAAAGGCGAAGAACCGUUUCUACGUCUCAAGUAGAGUUUUUAACGUCUAUAAGAACCAGUCGAGGAAUGUUCACUCCUUUUACACCUCGCACUACGACAAGUAUUUCGUGAGUACAGGGAAUAUGCUGUUCUACAAUUUUUAAGCAACGUCGGAAAUAAAUUCGUGCACCUCAGUCCUAGUCUCUAGGCACUUUUCUAAUAAACAAAGGAGGCUCUGUUCCAAAAAGGACAGUUUCGUCUCGAUGAUUUCGGAGUUCGUCUUUACCUUUCUAUAUAUUGACUAAACUAUUUCUUUUCACAUGUUCUACAAUGACCCGACCUUAAAUUUAAUAAGUACCUAAAAGACGCCUCAAACUCGUAUAAACCCCUAUGACGAGGAGCUCUUAGGAAAGUUCUUAAUUAACUUUAGUAAGUUCGUGUUCGACUAGAACUACGUGUCAAACUACAAAGACUAUAGCUAGUAUAUCUCUCCACCUGGAGUACGUAGAUAUACCGAGAAGGAUAGAAGUGCUCUCCACGUAGUUCGUCGUUCAAAGAGUUGAUGAAACGAUUCGUUUAGCAAGGUCAAAAGCUAUUCUAAGGCCUCCUCUUCUUUGACCUAAAUGAAUUCUGUCAACGACGAUCGAGCGGUAUACGACGUCGUGUUCUAAGUGCGGUCGACGAAGGUAGGUAACAAGUCAACGAGUUCUUCAUAUACGGACCCUUCUUCCAUCUACUAUAAUUAGUGUUAAUACAGCUCACGAACGAUAUGUGAAAAGUGGUAAACCGAGUAUUCUGUGGUUUGUGUUGUUUGUCAGAGACACCAAUGUUCUAGCAAUGACCUGUCGGUAGUCUAUCUGAACCUCUCCUAAAGAGUCUUGUAAUGUUUCUAAAAUAACUCUCCAAUUGACCUUGUCUUCUGUGCCAAGCUCGUCGGAGCUUCUCUGAUUGGGUCCCUUACCGUCUAAAGUUGUUCCGUUAUAGAAGUCGUUUCUGUCUUCUUCUCUUUUGAUUUUAGUUUCGCCUAGUCGUUUUUAGCUGCUACUGUUACGCCAGGAUAUUAUUAUAUAACCGUUACAGUGUCGGUAACGUACCCUUUAGAGGCAAUAAGUAACCUCUAUUCUUUUAAUGAGAUAGUACCUACCUUGUUGGUUUCUUUGGUCGUCGAAGUUGUCGACCUCCCUUCUCCUAGGUCGGACGAUCAUUGCCCUUACGGGGAAAUUUGUUCUUCCCCGCUCCUCUACCUCCUUACGUGUUAGUCGAACACUUGUCUCGAAAACUCCCCAAUGGGGCACCACCACCAUCUCCGUCACCUUCUCCCGCCCCGUCUCCUCCGGCUCCUUCUCCAACCCCGAUGGCGACUCUAGAAAGUCUUUAACUGUAAGGUUCGCUCUUUCCCUAGUCAAAAGAGGAAGGUAAGCUCUCAUCACCGUUCUCAGACAAAUAGACCCAAUCGAAAAGACAUGGUCCUUCCACGCACUGACAACCCACGUGUUCCCUUCGUGUUUUCGAGUAUGUUUCCUAGGAUUGGCAGAACCAAACGCCUAACAACAAACCACCAGGCUUGCCAUGUAAAAUCAGUAUCAUAUAAAUAAACUCCUUAAAUAAAAAGUUUAGUGGGCCGACUAAUCUCGUAGAGGCCGGCAACGGGAGAGUCCUGCGUAUUUUUAGCGGGGACCUCCACUCGACCACUAUGUUAGCCACGACCCCUACCAAAACGCCGAUCAGCAGCGGGGUCCGCGGCUUUAACCGGUAAAAAAUCGGGGUAAAGUCGCUUGUUUCCCGGACCCCUUAUUCGGGUAUAAACCG